CAGUUAAAAAGCUCGUAGUUGAAUUUCUGGAAAGUUCAUGCUGGCUGGUGUUGACCGGCCAUGUAUGUUCUUUCCAUUCUCGCGGGGAAGGCCUGGUACUCGUGAGAGUUCAGUGUCCGGAACCGCGUCAUUUACUGUGAAAAAAUUAGAGUGUUUAAAGCAGGCGUUUUCGCUUGAAUACAUUAGCAUGGAAUAAUAAGAUAGGACUUCGGUCUAUUUUGUUGGUUGCGGCCCGAGGUAAUGAUUAAUAGGGAUAGUUGGGGGUAUUCAUAUUUAAUUGUCAGAGGUGAAAUUCUUGGAUUUAUUAAAGAUGAACGACUGCGAAAGCAUUUACCAAGGAUGUUUUCAUUAAUCAAGAACGAAAGUCAGGGGAUCGAAGAGGAUUAGAUACCCUCGUGGUCUUGACCAUAAACUAUGCCGACUCAGGAUUGGCAGACGUUGUUUCCGACUCUGUCAGCACUGUAUGAAAAAUCAAAGUCUUUGGGUUCCGGGGGGAGUAUGGUCGCAAGGCUGAAACUUAAAGGAAUUGACGGAAGGGCACCACCAGGAGUGGAGCCUGCGGCUUAAUUUGACUCAACACGGGGAAACUUACCAGGUCCAGACAUAGUAAGGAUUGACAGAUUGAGA
rnacentral:rRNA from 1 species